UAACCUCAGCAUGUCCGUUUCAAGAAUGGAUCUUUUGAGGACCGUCGGCGGUGCGUGCGCACCAGGGUCGCACAGUGGAAACAUUGCAUUUAUCUAUUUCAAACAGGCUUUGGGGAAUCACUGGCACGGUGGCACGAGUGCUACACUGUUGCGUCUGGCUUCUUUUUGAAGAAACAUCAUUCCCAGAUAUUUCAAAAAAAGAAUUUGCUGCAAUUUGUCCCAAAGGAUAAUCUUUCAAAAUGUGUGGAUCGUGCGAUAGCAGCAUAACUGAUCAAAAAGAAGGGCGGCGGUGGUAUGGUGAGCAGCACACAGCGAACUUCAACUCCAUACGCAGCUCCAUUCUCUUGCAUACAGUCCUCAUCAAGUGAGGGUCUCGCGCUAGGCUAUGUCAUCUUGCUGACGGAGGGAUGCGGACAAGACAUCACGGAUCCUACGGCGUUGCGCGUUUAUGGUGAAGAAACAUGUUUGUGGCAUACAUUGGAGAACAUCAGGUCUCUGGCAUGGCGCCCCGCUGAUCGGUGGCUCGGAGGUGUGUUUGACAUGGAGAAGGGCCCACCAGCAGCGCAGACUAACCCUGCGGAGGCCAGCUCUUCAGCUGUCCCUGCCUGCCAGGGCCUCUGCCUCCAGUCAACAACAAGCCAGCUCAUCCAGCAGCAACCUGAUCUCCAGCUGCCAUGAUCUACGUCUAUGAAGAUGUGUCAUGUCUGCGUCUGUGAAGAUGUGUCGUGGUCUACAUCUAUGAAGAUGUGUCAUGGUCUACGUUUUUGGAGAUGAUUCGUGGUCUACAUCUAUGAAGAUGUGUCGUGGUCUACGUCUGUGGAGAUGUGUCGUGGUCUACGUCUAUUAAGAUGUGUCGUGGUCUACUUCUGUGAAGAUGUGUCGUGGUCUACUUCUGUGAAGAUGUGUCGUGGUCUACGUCUAUGAAGAUGUGGCGUGGUCUACGUCUAUGAAGAUGUGUCGUGGUCUACUUAUAUGAAGAUGUGUCGUGGUCUACGUCUAUGAAGAUGUCAUGUUCUACUUCUGUGAUGAUGUUUCAUGGUAUACGUCUAUGGAGAUGUGUUGUGGUCUAAGUCUAUGGAGAUGUCAUGGUCUACUUCUAUGAAGAUGUGUCGUGGUCUGCGUCUAUGAAGAUGUGUCGUGGCCCUACGUUUAUGGAGAUGUCGUGAUCUACUUCUAUGAAGAUGUGUCGUGGUCUGCGUCUAUGGAGAUGUGUUGUGGCCCUAUGUUUAUGGAGAUGUGUUGUGGCCUACAUCUAUGAAGAUAUGUUGUGGUUUAUGUAAAUGAAGAUGUGUGUUUCAUUUUUAUCAUUUCAUUUAUUGUUUUCCCCAUUAUCGGGCAGAUAUUUGCGUCCAGCUUCUAGCAGGACAAUGUUGUGAGAACGGUUAUUGGUUUUCAUAACCCCACCAGUGCUCUAGACUGAGACCCUUUUGUAUUAAUUAGUCACUUUAAUUUGUUUUAAUUGGGUUGCAUUGUUUUAAUUAGGUUUUUGUAUUUUUAUUAGGUUGCAUUGGUAUGAGCUGCACAUUCUGCACAGCACCUCAAUUCCCAAUCAACACAUCAUGUUUUUUGGAGGCUAACAUCUGGAUUCAGGUCAAACAUUACAGCGUAUUAUCCUCAUGAUUCAUGUAUUAAAAGUAUCUGUCCCGGUACUUGUUUCGCUGCAUACAGCCUGUAGCAUUGUAACGAGCGAGCCACUCUCUCAUUUUUCUUUCCUGGUGAAAACAAAUGCCCCAGGAGAAUACGUGCUUUGUGAUUGUAUAAAACAUUCAAACCCAA